rnacentral:sRNA from 1 species
ACAGCAGAAGGGGCAAGGAAGAAGCUUUGAUGAUGGUCAAGUUAAAAGAGAAGAGAAAUCUUCAAGAGGAAAGAAAUUCUUUUUGCUUCUCUGCACACAACCCCUGGCAACCAAAGAAUCCAUCAAUUCCACCUCAUUAGGAAAUCGAUAACAACACGUAUACAAGCUAUCUAGGGGACGCGAUCGAUAUACUGCUAUCAACAAGCAGAUGGGAAUGCAAUUAUCUACUAGCAAGCAAUCUAUACAAUUGCUGAGGGCAGCUCUUAUAAAAAAGGGGGGCAAUUGUAAUGCACUUGUUUAUUAUUUCCUUAUUAUCUUUGCUUAUUCUUACCUCUU